rnacentral:rRNA from 1 species
AACUUUUGGCCCUGUGAACCUGACCCAGCCUCGCGAGGUUGCGUGCCAGAGUGCACGGGCCAUUCUUCUGGAGAGCUCGGCCGUCCUCUUGGGCGCGCCGUGCAAUUCAGAUCCUUUACUGUGAGUAAAUCAAAGUGUUCAAAGCAGGCUUUCAGCUUGUAUGGUUCAGCAUGGAAUAAUAAGAUAAGACUUUGGUUUUAUUUUGUUGGCUGUAGAACCAAAGUAAUGAUUGAAAGGGAUAGUUGGGGGUGCUAGUAUUCAGUGGUCAGCGGUGAAAUGCGAGGACCCAUUGAAGACUAACUUAUGCGAAAGCAUU